rnacentral:rRNA from 1 species
CACUAUGCCUAGCCCUAAACAUUGAUAGUAAUCUACUCCUACUAUCCGCCUGGGAACUACAAGCAUUAGCUUGAAACCCAAAGGACUUGGCGGUGCUUUAGACCCACCUAGAGGAGCCUGUUCUAGAACCGAUUAUCCCCGUUCAACCUCACCUUUCCUUGUUUUCCCCGCCUAUAUACCACCGUCGUCAGCUUACCCUGUGAAGGACUUAUAGUAAGCAAGAUUAGCACAGCCCAAAACGUCAGGUCGAGGUGUAGCGUAUGGGAAGGGAAGAAAUGGGCUACAUUCCAUAACAUUAAGGAAUUACGAAUGAUCACACUGAAACACGUAUCUGAAGGAGGAUUUAGCAGUAAGCAGAAAAUAGAGCGUUCUGCUGAAACCGGCCCUGAAGCGCGCACACACCGCCCGUCACUCUCCCCAAGCUUCCACCAUCCAAUAACUUAAAACUUUCUAACUGCAAAGGGGAGGCAAGUCGUAA